rnacentral:tRNA from 1 species
AUUUAUAUAGUUUAAUAAAAACAUUACAUUUUCAUUGUAAAAUUAAAAUCCAAUUUAUAAAUA